UAUUUCCAAUCGCUGAAUUUCCGCUAGGAAAACGGGGGACCCGUUGCAUCUGUGUAGGGCUUAUCCUGAAUCGCCGAGCGAUCGGCAGGAAGCCACUAGCAGCGGCUCAAAUCUUUGGGGUGAAUCCAUGGGCUUUGUUACUUGAAGCCCGGGUAGGGCGACUCUCACGCCCGAAUCCGUCAGCUAACCUCGUAAGCGUGCAGAGAGAGGUACC
rnacentral:sRNA from 2 species